rnacentral:misc_RNA from 1 species
GAAAUGCGAUAAGCAAUGCGAAUUGCAGAAUUCCGCGAGUCAUCAGAUCUUUGAACGCAGCCCGCGCCGGAGAGAUAUCUCUUCGGCAUGUUUGUUUCAGUGUGUUUGGUUGACUUCACAUAGCUCAAUGCGAUUGAACUUCUCUCUUUUUCCUCCCCGUCAAGGGGGGGAGAGGGUAGGUCUCUCGUGAAAAGUGAAGGCGUGGGACUUGCCCGCCAACGAUGUGGUCACUGUCUAACAGUGAAUUCGUUGGGCUACAUCGGACUUGUCAUUUACGUACGUCUUUAAAUUCUCUCCAUCUAUCUUCAAUCUGCACCUGAAAUCAAGCAAGAACACCCGCUGAACUUAA